UACAGAGGGGGCAAGCGUUGUUCGGAAUUACUGGGCGUAAAGGGCGCGUAGGCGGCCUGUUAAGUCGAACGUGAAAUCCCCGGGCUCAACCCGGGAACUGCGUCCGAUACUGGCAGGCUUGAAUUCGGGAGAGGGAUGUGGAAUUCCAGGUGUAGCGGUGAAAUGCGUAGAUAUCUGGAGGAACACCGGUGGCGAAGGCGGCAUCCUGGACCGAUAUUGACGCUGAGGCGCGAAAGCCAGGGGAGCAAACGGG
rnacentral:rRNA from 1 species